rnacentral:tRNA from 1 species
GCGGUAGUAGCUCAAUUGGCAGAGCGUCGCGUUGCCAUCGCGAAGGUUGCGAGUUCGAUUCUCGUCUACCGCUCCA